rnacentral:rRNA from 1 species
CAGGCCUAACACAUGCAAGUCGAACGAAGGCUUUGGCCUUAGUGGCGCACGGGUGCGUAACGCGUGGGAAUCUGCCCAUCGGUUCGGAAUAACUGUUAGAAAUGACUGCUAAUACCGUAUGAUGUCGUAAGUCCAAAGAUUUAUCGCCGAGGGAUGAGCCCGCGUAGGAUUAGCUAGUUGGUGUGGUAAAGGCGCACCAAGGCGACGAUCCUUAGCUGGUCUGAGAGGAUGAUCAGCCACACUGGGACUGAGACACGGCCCAGACUCCUACGGGAGGCAGCAGUGGGGAAUAUUGGACAAUGGGCGCAAGCCUGAUCCAGCAAUGCCGCGUGAGUGAUGAAGGCCUUAGGGUUGUAAAGCUCUUUUACCCGGGAUGAUAAUGACAGUACCGGGAGAAUAAGCUCCGGCUAACUCCGUGCCAGCAGCCGCGGUAAU